AAAAAUAAACCGGGGCAUCUAGGAAAACUUUUACAAAUUCAAUUUGAAAUUAAAAUUUAAAAUAAAAAAUACAUAUUCUCUAUUAUCCUCAUCAAAUCAUAUCUUUUUUUUUCAUUUCUCUCAUCUUUCUCCUUUACUCCUCUGGGUGCUUCUUCACUGAAUCUGGCGAUGACCAUGUUGAAACUUGGUAGAGAAGCUCAAUAGUUGAAGAACAGAGAUUUCAGAUCCAUCGCCGACACCCAGAGGAAGAGCAGCACUAGCCAAACGACACCUCCCGAUUUGCACGCCGUACACCAAGAUUCUCAUCGUCGUGUUCUUGCUACUUCCUUUGUAGCAUGCGGUUCGUCCCCGCUACUGCAAAGAUGUGAUGAUUGGUUAGUCUGAAACCCCACCUUCAGUCUCUCCCCCUUUUCAACUUUUCUGCUUGUGGUGAUUUGAUGAAAGAUUUUGUUUCUUAUGAUGGGUUUAGCAAUUUAGGGCCAAUUUGAGAAUGGGUAAGAUUGAUUUAUAUUAUCUUGUUGAAAGAUUAGUUUUUUUUAACCUGUGGGAUUGAUAUGGGUUUCAAGUGUGCUAAUUGUUGUUAUUAUUAUGUUUAAGGCGUUUGUUGUUUUUUAAUACUCCCCUCCCUGUUUAUUUCUAUACUUGUAAAUAUAUUCAUAUGAUUUUAUUUCUAUAAUGUACACAUUUUUCUUUUUAAGAUGUAACCAGGAGAAAUAUAUUAAUAUUGAUCUGAUUAGAGUAGACACAACAGAGUACUGUAGAUUGAGAUUUAUGGAUGAGAUGGUUACAAUACCAAUGGAGACAGAGAGGACGAGCUAGAUGAGAAGCAGGAGUUUGCACUUUUUUUAUUGUAUUUUUUUGAGUAAAUAUUUAAAAUUAAUUAGUGAUUUAUUAUGUGGCGAAAGUUU
rnacentral:lncRNA from 1 species